CGUAUCACCCAAGACAACUUUACGGAGUUGACGAUUGACGGAGCGAAGCGACGUCAAAGCGUUCAUUAAAGUCGAGUUGGCUUAGGGAUACGUUCGUUGGGUAGGGGAGCGUUCUGUAAGCCUGUGAAGGUGUGUCGUGAGGCAUGCUGGAGGUAUCAGAAGUGCGAAUGCUGACAUAAGUAACGAUAAAGCGGGUGAAAAGCCCGCUCGCCGGAAGACCAAGGGUUCCUGUCCAACGUUAAUCGGGGCAGGGUGAGUCGACCCCUAAGGCGAGGCCGAAAGGCGUAGUCGAUGGGAAACGGGUUAAUAUUCCCGUACUUGGUGUUACUGCGAAGGGGGGACGGAGAAGGCUAUGUUGGCCGGGCGACGGUUGUCCCGGUUUAAGCGUGUAGGUGUGUGUUCCAGGUAAAUCCGGUUCACUUUAACACUGAGGCGUGACGACGAGGCACUACGGUGCUGAAGCAACAAAUGCCCUGCUUCCAGGAAAAGCCUCUAAGCAUCAGGUAACAUCAAAUCGUACCCCAAACCGACACAGGUGGUCAGGUAGAGAAUACCAAGGCGCUUGAGAGAACUCGGGUGAAGGAACUAGGCAAAAUGGUGCCGUAACUUCGGGAGAAGGCACGCUGACACGUAGGUGAAGUGAUUUACUCAUGGAGCUGAAGUCAGUCGAAGAUACCAGCUGGCUGCAACUGUUUAUUAAAAACACAGCACUGUGCAAACACGAAAGUGGACGUAUACGGUGUGACGCCUGCCCGGUGCCGGAAGGUUAAUUGAUGGGGUCAGCGCAAGCGAAGCUCCUGAUCGAAGCCCCGGUAAACGGCGGCCGUAACUAUAACGGUCCUAAGGUAGCGAAAUUCCUUGUCGGGUAAGUUCCGACCUGCACGAAUGGCGUAAUGAUGGCCAGGCUGUCUCCACCCGAGACUCAGUGAAAUUGAACUCGCUGUGAAGAUGCAGUGUACCCGCGGCAAGACGGAAAGACCCCGUGAACCUUUACUAUAGCUUGACACUGAACAUUGAGCCUUGAUGUGUAGGAUAGGUGGGAGGCUUUGAAGUGUGGACGCCAGUCUGCAUGGAGCCGACCUUGAAAUACCACCCUUUAAUGUUUGAUGUUCUAACGUGGACCCGUAAUCCGGGUUGCGGACAGUGUCUGGUGGGUAGUUUGACUGGGGCGGUCUCCUCCUAAAGAGUAACGGAGGAGCACGAAGGUUGGCUAAUCCUGGUCGGACAUCAGGAGGUUAGUGCAAUGGCAUAAGCCAGCUUGACUGCGAGCGUGACGGCGCGAGCAGGUGCGAAAGCAGGUCAUAGUGAUCCGGUGGUUCUGAAUGGAAGGGCCAUCGCUCAACGGAUAAAAGGUACUCCGGGGAUAACAGGCUGAUACCGCCCAAGAGUUCAUAUCGACGGCGGUGUUUGGCACCUCGAUGUCGGCUCAUCACAUCCUGGGGCUGAAGUAGGUCCCAAGGGUAUGGCUGUUCGCCAUUUAAAGUGGUACGCGAGCUGGGUUUAGAACGUCGUGAGACAGUUCGGUCCCUAUCUGCCGUGGGCGCUGGAGAACUGAGGGGGGCUGCUCCUAGUACGAGAGGACCGGAGUGGACGCAUCACUGGUGUUCGGGUUGUCAUGCCAAUGGCACUGCCCGGUAGCUAAAUGCGGAAGAGAUAAGUGCUGAAAGCAUCUAAGCACGAAACUUGCCCCGAGAUGAGUUC
rnacentral:rRNA from 1 species